rnacentral:lncRNA from 1 species
UUUUUUUUUUUUUUUUUUUUUUUUUUUUUUUUUUUUUUUCCCUCCAGGACAAGUUAAAUUGCAGCUGAAGGAGAGAGAGACUUCCAAUCCUGUUAUACUGAGUCUGGCAGUGGCUUCAAUUAACUCUGGAUGUGGCUGCAGGACCUGAAAAUUCCCAGCUCUCUGGCCCCACACUUCCUUUCAGGCUUUGCCAAACUGCUGCAAACAAGUUUAUUAUCUUUUGCCCUGAUGUUUUAUAUAUCAGUUAGGGCAGGAAUUCUGUGUGUGAAUCUUAAAAAAAAAAAAAAAUAGAGAAGAGAAGAGAAGAGAAGAGAAGAGAAGAGAAGAGAAGAGAAGAGAAGAGAAGAGAAGAGAAGAGAAGAAAAGAAAAGAAAAGAAAAGAAAAGAAAAGAAAAGAAAAGAAAAGAAAAGAAAAGAAAAGAAAAGAAAAGAAAAGAAAAGAAAAGAAAAGAAAAGAAAAGAAAAGAAAAGAAAAGAAAAGAAAAGAAAAGAAUUACAAGAAAAACUGAAACCCAUACGCUCACAGGUGUAGGUAGGCUUAGGUAACAAGGAUUAUAUUGCAAAAUCUAAUAUGAAGAUGGGUUAUACCUAGCCCUUGCCAAAAUUAAAGAAAAAGAAAUCUGAUCAGCAUGGUAGGCAACUGAGUUUGACCCAAAGACUUAUGGAAUAAAGUGUCAUUUUCAUCCCUCUUCUGCAGUCUCAAAGAGGUAAUAAAUAGUGCAAUAGAAAAGAAGUGGCAGUGGAAUGACUAAUUUUAAAACUUUUUUAUAUUAGUCUCUUUUCAAAAGGAAUAAAAUAAGAAACUGAAUGUAAACAGUUAUUUUUUGUAUAUAAAAACAUAUAAAAUGAGCUAUAAGAUUUAUGCUUUUAUGUUUAUGUGUUUAUACUUCUUUGAUGACAGCAAAAAAAACAUGAGAGUGAAGAAGCGGCCUUCAUUUUUUUUCUACUAUGCAUUUCACAUGCAUCUUUUUUUUUCCUAAGGUAUCCUGGUGUAAGAAAUCCCUUGCAAUAUACACGAUGCAGGGAUUUACUGUGAUACAGUUUUACCAAAUAACAGACUAUUUAGGAGACUGUAUGCGCAGUAAAUGGAACCUAAGUAUUGUAUUAUGUAGUAGAAGUUAAAAAUAAGACCGUCUGUCUCCUUCUGGCUGUGGUGUUUGCCUUCCCAGCCGAAUUCCUGGCUAACUUUGUGCCUGCCCCACAGCGCUCAGGGAGCAGUGGCUGUCUGGAGUGACUGUGCUGUGCUGGCUCCCUCUUCCCUGGCACCUGGCACGGCCACCAAGGACCGGGGCUUAGAAGGGUUUGCCUAACGUCUUGGGACCAGUGACUUAAAAGAAUUUGACUUUAAUGUACAUAUCUCACUCAGGGCCUGGAUUUUCAGAAGAGCUUUGCUACUGGAUUCUGGGCUGCUUGGAAAUGCAGGUGUUUCCUUUUUAGGUGCCUACACUGGAGUAGACAGAGGCAGGCAUAUGGAGAGCUGCAGUCCAUGAAGUGAUCUCUGCCCCGAGGGAACACUUCCAAAACAGCAGUCCCAGCCAGGAUGGUAUCCACACAAGAAUGGUGCUGUGCGUCCUGCUGGCUGAGCCUCCUUUGGGCACUGCUCAGAAAUGCUGUCAGAAUGAAGCAGAGCACUCAAAAUACAUUUAGGGUGGAAGAUCCACCCUGAGUGAAGGCCACAGGGCUUUUGCUGCUAAUUGAAGGAAGGUGAGGCUUCUUCUGAUGAAGAGUCAACACUCAUUACUGAAAGCUUUGAAUAAAUCUUUGAAUGAGUUGUAUUAUGUCUGCAGCUACAAGUUCAUUCAUCUGUCUACAUACCUUACUCCUGUUCGUAUGGAAAAUGAUGAAAAAGUGUGUUCGUAAGAACUCUCGUAGGCUGUACAAUGCUGUGCUGAAAAUUUUAUUACAUUGAUUCAAAUACUUUCUGCAGUUUAUGUAAAGUAAUCUUUCUGUAUCUCACGGAAUUUGCAUCCUGGGAGUGAUUGAUACUCUGAGUGAGAUGAAGCCGACUUCCAUUCCCUACCACACAGCAAAGUUUCUUGGAGAAGAAUGCACUCAGAGAGCAUAAACUGUUAUUGCUGGUUAUUCAACCACAACCACUGGAUCCCCUGUCUUCGCUUUGCCACCAAAAAAGUAUUUGUGGUUGGCCAGGUGUUCAUCCCUUUGAAUGCAUCUCACCUGCUUUCCAUACUACAUUUCCACUGUUUCCUUCCUGCAGGAAAUGUGAUUUCCAACAGCAAUGGCUCACUAGGCAUCUCUUCUCCAUAGUCACUGUGUUAUUAUCUGAUGGUGUGCACAUCUUACUUUAAAUUUCACCUUCUUCAGAAGGAAUCUACCAGUGUCUGACUGCCCAUUUGUCCUGAUGACAGGGAAAUUUGGCACAGCUCUCCAAAAUAAUCUUUGCAGCACAGAAGCCUGAAGCGUGGAAGUGAUUGUGGGUCUGCCCCCGGACCAGGACAGGAGCCUGUGAAGCUCCUUGAGCGAGCACAAUCUGCAAGGCCAGCCCAGGAGGCACUGCCGUGCCCCUGAGGUUUGGCCAGUUUCCCUUCAGCUGAAGAGACACUGACUUGAGAAACCCCAGAAUAUUUGCCAUGGCAUCCACGGCCAGGCUCUGAGUAAGGAGCAGGCUUUUUUCUUACUUCAGAGUUGGCACCUGUGGUUCAUAUAGCUGAGCAGUGAUCAUGAGCCAAAGUGUAUUUUUGUCAAAUAAUAAGCCUUUAUGCCAUACCUGUUUUCAUUUGGAAACACUGUGGAUAAUCUGAGUGAAGCUUAUUUGCCACAAUACCACUACACACCAGGACCUUAAAACAACAAAUGCUAAAUUUGCCCCCUCUUUAAGAUUUUUGCUUAUUGCCAGAGGGUGUUAAAGUCCCUUCUGUGGAAAGGAGUAGGGAUUAUUCAUUCCAAAGGUAGUUUUACUUAAAACCUGCAGGAAGGAUAUUUUUAUGUGUUUUCCCAGAUUCUUGUUUGCAACAUGCUCAGAAAUUCCAGUAUAAAUACAAAAUAUGCAGCCUUCUCUUUGUUUUCCAAGUAGACAACAUGGGGUUGCCC